rnacentral:lncRNA from 1 species
GUCUUACUCCAAGCUGUAUAGGCUCGAAAGCCUACUACCAAUUAAGCAUAUUAGGUGAUGUGCAUCUCUGUAAUGAGAAGGGGUGUGGUCUAAUGACAUCAACACCCUAUAUCAGGUGUGCAUAAUUAUUAGGCAACUUCCUUUCCUUUGGCAAAAUGGGUCAAAAGAAGGACUUGACAGGCUCAGAAAAGUCAAAAAUAGUGAGAUAUUUUGCAGAGGGAUGCAGCACUCUUAAAAUUGCAAAGCUUCUGAAGCAUGAUCAUCGAACAAUCAAGCGUUUCAUUCAAAAUAGUCAACAGGGUCGCAAGAAGCGUGUGGAAAAACCAAGGUGCAAAAUAACUGCCCAUGAACUGAGAAAAGUCAAGCCUGCAGCUGCCACGAUGCCACUUGCCACCAGUUUGGCCAUAUUUCAGAGCUGCAACAUCACUGGAGUGCCCAAAAGCACAAGGUGUGCAAUACUCAGAGACAUGGCCAAGGUAAGAAAGGCUGAAAGACGACCACCACUGAACAAGACACACAAGCUGAAACGUCAAGACUGGGCCAAGAAAUAUCUCAAGACUGAUUUUUCUAAGGUUUUAUGGACUGAUGAAAUGAGAGUGAGUCUUGAUGGGCCAGAUGGAUGGGCCCGUGGCUGGAUUGGUAAAGGGCAGAGAGCUCCAGUCCGACUCAGACGCCAGCAAGGUGGAGAUGGAGUACUGGUUUGGGCUGGUAUCAUCAAAGAUGAGCUUUUGGUGCCUUUUCGGGUUG